rnacentral:lncRNA from 1 species
UUGGUGACAAGAGUUCAGCCUGGGACAGCUUUGGUGCUUUCCCCCUCCCAGCUCUCUGUGCUGACUUUCUCUGGGCAGUUCUUCUCCUGCUCCAGGUCAAGCUCAGCAGCACUCCAAGCUCUUUCACCACUGAACUGUAUAGGAAACAAAGAUCAAUUUCAAUUUCCUUUAAUGCAGGUGCCUCUAAUUCAUGGCAGCUCAGCAGCUGUUCCUGAGCAGCUGUGGUACCUCUACUGUGGAGGCAAGAACCUAGGAGAGAAGGGCAGGGCACAUUUCCUGACUGAGUCAAAGGCACAAGGUGCUGGCCAACACUGAGAUGCCAAACUAGAGGCUGGUGCACCCACCAGAUCUGAUGCCUCUAGGAGAUUGUGCAGGUCCAAGCAGCAGCUCAAAGUGCUAUGAAGUAAAAUGUAAGAUUAAAAAUGCAUUCAGGAUGGUAAGUCAGUAAGAGCAUUUGAAAUUGUGUGUUUUAUUAAUGUUGGGUUGGGUUUCUUUGAGGAAUUCUGGCUCAAGAAGAAAAAUGUAGUCCUGGAGACUGCACCUUUAAGUGCU